GAUGAAGAACGCAGCGAAAUGCGAUAAGUAAUGUGAAUUGCAGAAUUCAGUGAAUCAUCGAAUCUUUGAACGCAUCUUGCGCUCCUUGGUAUUCUGAGGAGCAUGCCUGUUUGAGUGUCAUUAAAUUCUCAACUACACUGACUUUGAAUUGGUGUGGCUUGGAUUUGGGGGGAAAAUUGUUGUGGGCUUUUUGUAUAGUCUGCUCCCCUGAAAUUGAUUAGCGGUACCUUUGUGGAACUGUCUACAGGUGUGAUAAUUAUCUACAUCUUAGACAUCUGCUGGAAUGCUGCUUUCUAAACCUUACUUGUAUUGACAAUCUUGACCUCAAAUCAGGUAGGACUACCCGCUGAACUUAAGCAUAUCAAUAGGCGGAGGA
rnacentral:misc_RNA from 1 species